CCGACCUGAGAGACGGCGAUGGCAGACCGGAAGGAAGUGCAAGGACAUGGCAAACACAACAGACAACUGAACUAAAGACCGGACUUGAAUACAACCUGAAGUAACGAGGGGAUGAGGUGCAGGUGGAGUGAGGCAGAGAAACACAAGUGAUCUGAGCUGAUAGGCUGGAGAAAACUGGGAACGGUGCUGGGCUUACGAAUGAGAUGCAGUCCAGGUGUGAAGGGAAAGCAGACUGGGGGAGGUUAGCAAGGAAAAAGGAGUGAAACAACAAAAGACACCACAAAAACCCAGAAAACACAAAUAAAAUGAAACUGAAAUGACAGGACCAUGACAAUCACCUCUGCUUACCUGACCUCUGAUGCUGUUGACAUCUGAAGAGCAUCUCAAUUGAAGUGUACUGAUGCCCCAAGAAAGAUAGAUGCCAGCAGCACACUGGGAUCAACGACAUGACUUCAAGUAUCACCGACGGCCAAUUUCGAUUCGUGACCUGACUUUCAUGUCACUGGAGAGAUCACAACAAGCCACUGUGAGCUGGCUGCCCUGAGCAACACGAAGGUCAAAUUACUCAGAAGCAGGAAGAAGGAGUUACACAGAAGUAACCUGAUUGGAUGGGAGGAUUGGUGACCUUGGCAACUACCCAUUAUCUAGAGCUCCCAAAGGGGGGGGGUGAAGGGAGGAGAGGGACACUUCAGCAAUCUCAGAGAGAGAAAUCCAGAGGGAUGGUUUCUCCAGGAAUCUCCAAGCCUCCAUCUAUGUUCCCAUCCCUCCAGGUGCAGGAUCACCUUAUCACCCCUUGUUCUCUCUCUCUGUUGCCCCCACUGCCUCUUCCUCUAAAUGCCACUAAAUGAAAGACUCACACACAAACAUAUCUCUUCUAGUCCUCUGUUUAUCCUAACACACACACAGACUUCACAGUGGGAUGCUGGGAGGCAACAAGAGGCGACAAAAAGAAGAUUAGUGAGGAAGAUCAAGUGUAAUUCAAGGUCGCUCCUCUCAUUAGAUUCAGACACAGAGGGUCUGAGUAAGGAUAUAAAUAAUUCUGGGAAAAUCUUAACACCAGAAAAUCCGAAGCCACAAUCAUCUACAGUUCAUGCAUACCCCAUGAGAUGAGAAUGUAUGUUAAGCAGAAAGAUAAAGCUUUUAAUGCAUGUAUAUGUACACUUAUAAUGUUUUAUUUUUCUUUGAGGUUGAAAGUCUUUUAGAGCAGAUUUCAUGCCUUUUGUAUAGUUUAUGCAGUUAUUUACAGUUUAGUGAGGGAAGUUUAGGGUCCCACAACCCACUGGUGACUUGCCAACAGUUCCCAAUCCUUUUGUUCUUUUUGAAAAGCAUCCAGGCUUCUGCAGUUUUGGUUAAUUAAUUCUGGUAGUAUUCAUAAAUAGAAUAGCUUUUACCUAUCCUUGGGUAUGUUGUCCUCUUUGGACAUUGCUGGGUUUUUUUGUUGUGGUCGCUGGUCUGCAACGAGAACGUCACCAACCCACAACAAACACAUUCACAAAGAUUUUCCUAAUUUUCUCUUAGAUUUGUUUCUUAAAAAAAAGAAAAUGUCACACAUGCAAACCCGGUUUUAACAAGAAAUGCAUCCAAAUAGUUCUAUAUAAGAGCAAUGGACCCCUGCAGCGAUGUAGCACAGUCUAAAUAGAAUGAAUGACAACUACUUUUUUCUUCUUGGCUUUCACAAAAGGCAACUUGUUAGUUUUCACACUGCAGGAUCAUCAGUCAAAAACAAAACAAAAAAAAAAAACAACUGGAAUUUAAUCAACUUGGAAAGAGGAGACAUUCAUUUGCUAAAAUCUGAAGGUGAUUCACUGAGUUGAAGCGCACAAUUAUCUGUGCCAGAAAAGUCUCUUUUAUCACAGAAGGAGUCGGUUCUUUGUACAACAUAGUGCUGCAUAUUUAUCACUUUACACACUAUUGAGUACGACUGAGCCAAAUCAGCACCACCAGCAUUACAAUCUGCCUGAUUAUGUAUUCAACAGAUGAGUUCAUGAGUGCUGCUUCAUAAUACCAAAGCACUACAGUGCGGCAUGCCAGCGUCAAAACACGGCGUUUUGCAUUACUGAGUACGUAUAUAAGUGUGUCUGUGGGUGUAUGACCAUGACAUCAAAACCGAGUCGCAACAACACGGUACGUGUUUGUGUCGAGAAUACCACAAAGCACUUAAACUGAUGAAUAUGUAUGUGUAUGUGUAAAUAACUGCAACUGCCUAAUUUAAUAAAAUUCAAUAAAAUCCAUGCGUAUGA